rnacentral:rRNA from 1 species
AUUGAACGCUGGCGGCAUGCCUUACACAUGCAAGUCGAACGGCAGCACGGGUGCUUGCACCUGGUGGCGAGUGGCGAACGGGUGAGUAAUACAUCGGAACGUACCUUAUCGUGGGGGAUAACGCAGCGAAAGUUGCGCUAAUACCGCAUACGCCCUGAGGGGGAAAGCGGGGGACCGUAAGGCCUCGCGCGAGUAGAGCGGCCGAUGUCUGAUUAGCUUGUUGGUGAGGUAAAAGCUCACUAAGGCGAUGAUCAGUAGCUGGUCUGAGAGGACGAUCAGCCACACUGGGACUGAGACACGGCCCAGACUCCUACGGGAGGCAGCAGUGGGGAAUUUUGGACAAUGGGGGCAACCCUGAUCCAGCAAUGCCGCGCGAGUGAAGAAGGCCUUCGGGUUGUAAAGCUCUUUUGUCAGGGAAGAAACAGCAGCUCUAACACAGCCUGCGAAUGACGGUACCUGAAGAAUAAGCACCGGCUAACUACGUGCCAGCCGCCGCGGUAA